CGUGAUGUCUGAAGUAAAUGAGCGGCUCUGCUCUGGGUUUGGUUCUGAACUGAAUGCAGGCCUCUUGAUGCUCUCCCCUGACUGACUUAAAGCCAAGAUCAGGAUGAUAGAGGAGAGACGGAAGGGGAAUGUCAUGGCCGACAGGAAGCAGAUCUUUACAGACAUGAAGACUGAGAAUUAUGACACCAUCCGGCUGUCCACAUACCGCACCGCCUGCAAGCUCAGAUUCAUUCAGAAGAAAUGCAACCUGCAUCUGGUGGACGUGUGGAACACGAUCGAGGCGUUUCGUGACAACGGUCUGAACACGCUGGACGUCUGCACCGAGAUCAGCGUGGCUCGGCUGGAGACCAUCAUCACCUGCAUCUACCAGCAGCUAAACAAACGGCUGCCCACCACACACCAGAUCAACGUCCAGCACAACACCAGCCUGCUGCUCAACUUCAUGCUGGCAGCACACGACAGUGAUGCUCAGGGAAGGAUGACGGUGUUUUCUGUGAAAGUGAUGCUCUCGGUGCUGUGUGGAGGGAAACUAGUUGAUAAACUUCGCUAUAUUUUCUCUCAGAUAUCUGAUACUCAUGGUGCGGUGGUGAUGUCCAAGUUUGACCACUUCCUGCGGGAGGCGCUGAAACUGCCCACUGGCGUAUUUGAGGGGCCGUCCUUUGGCUACAUGGAUCACUUCGUCAGAUCCUGCUUUCCACAACAAAAGAAGGUGAUGCUGAACUUGUUUCUGGAUACUCUGAUGUCAGAUUCUCCUCCUCAGUGUCUCAUUUGGCUUCCUCUGCUGCAUCGGCUGGCAAACGUGGAGAACGUCUAUCAUCCGGUGGCGUGUUCGUUCUGUCGGUCCGAGGGCAUGAUGGGAUUUCGUUACCGCUGUCAGCAGUGCUUUAAUUUUCAACUGUGUCAGAACUGUUUCUGGCGAGGUCAUGAGAGUGGAAACCACAACAACCAGCACGAGAUGAAGGAACAUUCGUCCUGGAAAUCUCCAGCUAAGAAGUUGGGUCGUGCCAUCAGUAAAUCCUUGGGCUGUGUGCCGAGCAGAGAGCCGUCCCACCCUGUCUACCCAGAAUACCCUGAGAAACCCCUCAACCUGUCCAAUAUAGUUCCUCCCCGUCCAAUAGGAAACAUGAAUGAACCAGUCCUGCCUCCGUCUGCAGGCCCCAGCCCCACGAAGAGAGCGCCGACUCUCGCCGCAGCUCAGCGUCUGAAUGAUGAACAUGCUCUGAUCGCAGCGUAUGUGAACAAACUCCAGAGCAGCCCACGUGCGUUAGACAGUCCUACCCGAACAGAUGAAGAGCACAAACUCAUCGCUCGUUACGCCUCUCGUCUGGCCACGGAUCCUGGACACACAGGAAGACCUUCGGACGUCAGCUGCGACACCAACAAACAGCAGAGAGAUCUGAUCAUGCAGCUGGAGAGCAAGAACCGGGAGAUUUUGCAGGAGAUCCAGCGUUUGCGAGCGGAGCAUGACCAGGCAUGUCAGCCGACUCCAGAGAGAGUCCAACAAAACCCGACCCUGCUGGCAGAACUCAGGCAGCUCAGGCAGAGGAAGGAUGAGCUGGAGCAGAGGAUGUCUUCUCUUCAGGAGAGCAGGAGAGAGCUGAUGGUGCAGCUGGAAGGACUCAUGAAACUACUGAAGGAUGAGGAGCAGAGGCAAGCUACUCAAGCCGCUGGCUCCUCCCCCAGCCACGCCUCCCCUCGUUCUAUGCAGAUGCCCAUUCGCUCUCCCUCAUCAGGCUCCACCCCCACACAAGGACACGUCCCCACCCACGGGCCCCAGGACUCUUUAGCUGGAGUGGGUGGAGAUGUUCAGGAAGCAUUUGCUCAGGGACCUCGCAGAAACCUGCGAAAUGAUCUCCUGGUGGCAGCAGACUCCAUCACAAACACCAUGUCUUCACUGGUCAAAGAGCUCAACUCAGUAGAAGAUGGAGAAGAGGAUGAGAGACUGCUGCAAAAUGGCAAAGACCGAGUUUCAGACGCCAUCACUCAAAUUAGGCUCUGAGCAGAAGUUUGCUCAAAAUUGCUAUAGCUGGAAUCGUUUACUGAGUGAAAAUUUCCUGGAGAGCAGCACUUAAAACAUGUUUCGGGUUAAGACAAAAAUGAAGCAAGCAGUGCCAUGUGUGGCAUCACCAUGCAAACACAUCACCACAAAGACAAUGACCUCUGAACCCAGACUCAGCCAAUCAGAGAGUGUUCAGGGAUUUGACUUCCUGAGGAGUGCUUGAGAAGGAAAAUGUUUUGUUGUUUUCAGUGUUUUUACCCUUCUUUGUUUGUGAGAUAGAGAUGCAGUUUUAACGGUCUGUGUUGCGGACCUGCUAGUUCGAAUAAUUAUUCUCGUUUGAAUUUUGUAGCUGAUUUUGUUAAAAUUUGAAAGCUUUUGAAAAACCAAACACCCAAAGACGUGUCAGAUCUGAAGAGAACGAGACUGAAUGGACUGAGGUUGGAACGCAAUAGAAAGUGAUGCAUGAUUGAUGGACGAGCGUGAUGAGUUGAUUGGUUGGCUGGGGUAUGUAGGCAUGGUUUGUUGGAUGUGGGUGUGGUCAUGUUGAUUUCAAGGAUGAGGUUGCUGCAAAUGCAGUUUAAAUGACCUUCUAAAGAACUCAAUUAAAGAAAGGGUCGAGUUCAUUAAUUUAUUUUUUAUUUACUUUUUUAUUUAUUUUCAGUAGACGGACAGCAUUUUAGCAGCUUUUCAGUGUACAUUUGAGGAAAUAUUUUGGUAAGAAGUCCAGUUCAGCAUUUAUGUAUAUUUAAGAUCAAAUUGAUUUAGUUUUAUAGAUUUUCAAAUAGGUACAUUAAUGAAGAGGUGGAUGUACUGUGCUCCUAUUACUGGAGAGGUUUACUAAUUGUUCAUUUUGCUGAUUUCUUUUUUCUAGAAGCAAUGUUUGUAGUCAAUAUUUCCUAUGAAUGGACAUUUCUUACCUACAAACAUUUGCACGCACGUCUGACCUGCUGUGUGUUUUUCUGGAUGUGUGUGUAUUUGUGUGCCUUUCUACAGUUGUGUGUUUGUGUAAAGCUGGAAUGUGAAUCAUAUUGAUGCCUUCAUUUCAUUUUAAUCUUAAAUAUCUGCCAAAAAUGACUUGAUUUAGUUUGUUUGAAGUCUUUCAUCAUAUUUACUCUGACUUUUGGGUUAAACUUUACUCCAUAUUUAGUUUUUUUUUUUUUUUUUCGCCAAGUUAAUUCAUGGAGUCAUUUGUUUCUGGACCUCUGCAUCAUGUGAUUCUACCUGCGGUACAUGGGGCUUAAUGACAUCACUUCCUGUGCCCUUCGGAUCAAGAUCUCUUCUGUGAAAGUCUGGUGGUUUGGUGCAGGAGAUUAUUACGGUGCCGGUAGCCGCAGUGUUUCGCUCUUUGCACCGAACAACUUUUUAAUAUUUUUUUAAGAAGCGAAUUUUACUGAAAUGAGGCUGUGAUUUACAUGCAUGUGAUUUCAAGUGAUGAUUUUUUGUGUUCAGAAUAAAUGAUAUCUUGAAAAACAAACAAAAA